AUUGAACGCUGGCGGCAUGCUUUACACAUGCAAGUCGAACGGUAACAGGCCGCAAGGUGCUGACGAGUGGCGAACGGGUGAGUAAUGCAUCGGAACGUGCCCAGUCGUGGGGGAUAACGCAGCGAAAGUUGCGCUAAUACCGCAUACGAUCUAUGGAUGAAAGCGGGGGACCGUAAGGCCUCGCGCGAUUGGAGAGGCCGAUGUCAGAUUAGGUAGUUGGUGGGGUAAAGGCUCACCAAGCCGACGAUCUGUAGCUGGUCUGAGAGGACGACCAGCCCCACUGGGCCUGAGACACGGCCCAGACUCCUACGGGAGGCAGCAGUGGGGAAUUUUGGACAAUGGGCGCAAGCCUGAUCCAGCAAUGCCGCGUGCAGGAAGAAGGCCUUCGGGUUGUAAACUGCUUUUGUACGGAACGAAACGGUCCUGGUUAAUACCCGGGGCUAAUGACGGUACCGUAAGAAUAAGCACCGGCUAACUACGUGCCAGCCGCCGCCAUAAAAC
rnacentral:rRNA from 1 species